CAGUAGAAUUUCUUCACACAUUUCUGUUGAAUAAUUUUUUGUCUAAAAGUCCUUAGUGUGUCAGUGACAGGAUGUACAGCGUUGCUCAUAAUUGCCAUCACUUUUGUCUUCAAUAUCACCUCCAUUAUUAAUUCUAGCAGGUGCAGAGUAUGUCAAAGAACCAAGCCUGCCUUCUUAAACAGCUUGUUGAUCCUGUUGUUAAGUGAUGUUACUGGCAGUUCUAGAACAUGUAAAGGAUGUCAUCACACACAUUAAAGGAAUUCAGUUUCUUUAAAAAAUAAAUAAAAUAAAA